UAAUGAUGACUACUAAACUGAAAACAGCUGGAAUUACCGUCAGAAUGGUUAGUGGUGAUUCGGUUUUCUGAAC